rnacentral:lncRNA from 1 species
GGGCAAUGUUGGAUGUUUGAGGGACUAAAAGAAAGCAUUGAGGUUGACUCCUCAACAAUGGAGUUGUGUAGUGGCUAUGCACUAGGGCCCCAUUUGUUUCCCAACUCUCAAACACCUUUGAUCCUGAAAAAAAACACCUCCAUAUAUGCCCACUGCCAUGACCCAUCAGAGUUUUUACAUGUAUACAUGAAGCUACUAGCUGAACCACUAGUUGUCUUGCAGUACUACUUUUCACAUGUGAUCUUGCCUAGCUCUUCUUCUUC